AUACGGAGGGUGCAAGCGUUGUUCGGAAUUACUGGGCGUAAAGCGCGUGUAGGCGGCUUGGCAAGUCGGAUGUGAAAGCCCGGGGCUCAACCCCGGAACUGCAUCCGAAACUGCCUCGCUAGAGUCCCGGAGAGGAAGGCAGAAUUCCCAGUGUAGGGGUGAAAUCCGUAGAUAUUGGGAGGAAUACCAGUGGCGAAGGCGGCCUUCUGGACGGUGACUGACGCUCAGACGCGAAAGCGUGGGGAGCAAACAGGAUUAGAAACCCCAGUAGUCC
rnacentral:rRNA from 1 species